UCUGACUCUUGUUUAUUAUGGAGUAGGUCAUACCGGUUAGUGGCGACAAGGAAGUCACGCUUUCAGACUCGCUGCGAUCAGCCUCGAACUUUCAAUGAUUGAUCGAUUCACAGACGCGUUUUAUUCGCCAAGGGGGUUUACCACCACAUGAAAAUUUCUAGUGUAAUUCUAUGAUAUGCCCAUUCUAUAGACAAACAACAUCACUUCAGUAUGUUUCUACACAUAAACAAUUAUGCGACCUCAUUUUAAUACUCUUGUAGUACGUGCAUUGGGCCCAUGCCCCAAAAGCUACAAAUCACGUUGCACUCCCACGUCCGGCAAAUUUCUACUACCAUCACAAUUUCUAAGAGUUUACUUUGUCAAGCAGAUUGUCACUGUGUUGCCACUUGAAAACUGGGCAGAUCUAGAGAAAAUGAAGAAAGUACGUGCGGUACCGCCACGCCCACGUAAACUUCAGUCCCUGUCUGCAAAAGAUCAAAAGAUAUAGGGUCAGAGAAAGAAGCGAAAAUACAGUUAAGUAGCUCCUUUGAACAUAGCCUAUCACCACUGAAAGAAAUGAUUGCAACCAGGUUCUCCUGUUUCCUUAAUCGCGAAUCUUGGCGCGCGCUACCCUAGACGUAUCUCUCGAUCGCACACAGAGUUCAUUUCUUACACAACUAACUUCGACCUACAAACAUCGCUAGGCACUCAAAAGUGUCAAGAAACUUAAUUAAUUAAAUAGGAAAGCCAAUAGUCAGUGUCCCGGAUGUAAUAGAGAUGUGUCGCUAGCAUUGACUGCUCGCAUUCUAGACGUCAAUAUAUUUUUCUAUAUCUAAAUAGGAGAGCCGUCUGUCUGUCUGUCUGUCUGUUAGUACAGUAUGCAUGGCCACCCGUAUCUCCGCCUCCCCGCGUCCGAUCUCCGCCCGCGCACGCCCAAAACGACGAAGUGAAACUUCCGCGACGAUCGGUCGACGAGAUUUCCUGCCGAUGAAACCCGCUUCCACUCGAGCGCGAAUAUCUCCGGAACGGCGAGUCGGAUCUCCACCGAAUACUGUAUGUCCGAUCGCAUACCUUAAGAGAAAGUCUGCAACUCUUUAACUAAUAUUGCAUGUCCUAAAUGAUGUCACAACGCCAACUUUCACCUCCUUAGUACAUUGUAGACGUCAACUCUCUAUAUAAUCAGAAACCUUUCAAGACUUCAGUAGUUUGCUAGAAUUAGUCGUCAAGAGUGACCUUGAGCUCUCUAUCUAUUCGAAGAUGUCAAGUCGAGAAUCUGAAAUAUCAGCUGCCAAAAGAAUUCUGCAUGAUGCAAUGGAACACCUUGAAAGGGCAGAAGAAAGCCAACAAGAGCAAACCGGCUUAGAGGAACGAACGAGCAAAGGAAUUCCAGUCAAACUGAUCAAGAGUCCAGUCGGGUACAGGUCGAUGUCCGUAGCUGCAGAACAACGUCGUCUAUGUGGACACGACAAACACAGGAAAACCGGCCAGCACAGAAAGUUUGGAGCAGGAAGUAGAGAAGAGGCAAGCACACGAAAAAUCCUCUCUCAUCAAACAUCAAUUACUAGUAAUCGCCAGGUUUGGACUUUUACAUUCGUUUGCUUGGCUGAUCAUCAGCGCAAUACACCCCCUUCAUUUGAGGAAAAGAUGAAACUUUCCAGGGGACGCGUCGGUGAAAGAAGAGUAAGCAUUGGUCAGACAGAUGACAGUCUAGAACACAACGCCGUUCUUGACACCUACCCUGCACUGGAACGCACUGGGUAUGAGAUGAUGAGACAGGGGCGUCGCGUAAUAGGGGCUAGAGGGGCCGAAGCCCCACCACUUUUCGGGGGCGUUUCAAAAAUUUUAAUAUCAAAGACCGGAGCCGAAGUCUCAUCAGCGAGUCAGCCCCACCGCUUUUUGCGCCCACGCGACGCCGCUGAUGAAACUCAAUCCUCAACGUCGACUUGAACUCUUGCAAAGUCAUGACCUCUCGGCAAGAAAUCUCAAAGCUAUGGUUGAUCAAGCCAACAUUUAUUUACGACCUAUUACCAAUUAAGUCCCUGUCUCUGCGUCAAUUACUUGAAGUAAGAUGCUAAACUAGACAUGCCUGGUUGUUAAUCGAUACUUCAAUCCAUUGCUACAAUAUAUGACUGAUAUCGGUAUUUGCCUUGUGAAUAGGAUGACAUUACUAAUUCAGAUUUGCAGCCCAAUAUGAAGUGUCCGGAUUGCAGCCUGGAAAUUCCAAUGUCUGCUCUCAGGGACCACAUUAGAAAUGAAUGUCAUAAAAACAACUCCUACCCUCAGGUACACUUCAAGAGAUAAACCGCUGCAAGAAAAGAAAACAGCAGAAAACUUUUGGAAACACCAGGCAGAGAAAAGUAACAGUUCAAGUGUGCUAGAAUACUUAUCAAAGGAAAGGCCAACGAAAGUGCAGAGAAUUUAUGUGAAAGGUCAUGAAAAAGAUGAGCAACUCUCUGAUUCUACUAAUGAAUACAAGCCAGCUGAAUUUGCAAAAACAUCUCGUUUUCCAGGGAGUGGAAGUAGUAAAGAGAGCCAUUCAGAACCAUUACUACAACUCAUGCAAGUGUUCUCUGACCAUUCAAUUGAUACUCUCCAAAAAGUAUACGUCAAUGUGAAAUGGAUGCUGAGAUGGCUGCAUUACUGUUGUUACUGGACAACUAUACUGAGGCACUCUUUGUCUGCAAUUUUAGUGAUACUAAACAUAUGGUACCAACAGAAAUUUUAUUUGUAGGUAGAAGAUGUAGUUCUACUGGUUCAUGCUCUCCUUCACUUGAGUUUCUGCCUAGUAUGUAGCAUUUUGUAAUCAUUGCUGGUAUACUGUGUCUAGGUCCAGUCUUAUAAAAAUUCAGAUGCCAUUGAUUUGACAAUGCCUGAACCCUGUGAUUAUGAUCAGGACACCACAAGACCACAGCAGAGCAUGACCAUUAAUAAGCUUCUUGCAACUGUAGGACCUGACACCAAUUCUGGACUGCCUCGAACGAGACUGACUGUCUCACGAAAUGAAGUACUUCCUGAUGCAAUCGCGUUCUUUAAUUAAUGGAGGUGAUUUCCACUACAACCGAGAACUACAGGUUAGAUUUGAGGAUGAGCCUGCUGUAGAUGGUGGAGGACCUAUUAAGCGUGAAUUUUUUGCUGCUUUUGAAGUGUCUGGUUAGUCCAACAAAAAGUGUUUGACUCUUUGAACGACGUCUUGUCCGAUACCUGCCAAUGCACUAUAUGGAUGCCCUGAUGGGAGCACUCUACGAAGUUGAAAGACAGAUGAUUGCAGCUUCUGUAUUACAAGGGGGCCUGGAUUCUCUUGCUUGGCCCCAGCCAUUGAUACAUAUAAAUACACAAAGAGACUGCAACUAACAAAGCUCACGUGGUGUUGAAAAUCCUUCUCCAUGAAAUUGUGUUAUCCAGAAAAGCUGAGUUAGAUCUGUUGGUCUUGGCCCUCUAAUGGAUCUUGCCAGACGGCAUCCUGACAAAAUUAGACCUCUGCUUACUGCUUCAGCAAGCACGCCAUUAACAAGUGGACUGUUCCUGAAUCUAGUGACCUAUGUCUAUGAGUCAACUCUCCCGCCAAAAAUAAAAGACUAUUUGUGCACUACGGCCACCAUUCAGAUAGCACAAACCUGAGGACACUGCUGCAGUUCUGCACGGGUUGCAGUGAGAUUCCAGUGAUGGGAUUUCAUCAACCAGACACAAUCACAGUGUCUAGCACAAGAUCCGUGUUUCCCAAACAGCAACAUGUGCUAUGAUUUUAGAGCUGCCAAGACAAGUUGCCAACCAAGAAUUGGCAAAUAUGAAUGCUGUUUCAGAUAUGCAGGCAACUGGCUUUGGAGUAAUCUAGUAAAUUUGCAUUUUCUGUUGCUUUCUUGAACUCUUGUUUCCAUUGCAUGCUAGUUUAAAACAUCUACACAAGUUAUAACGAGAGGGUUUGUUAAUGUAAGAUUCCAUGUUGCAGUUUACUUGUUCGAAUCGUGUUGUAAAAGUUGUAAUAAAAUGGUAAAAUCCUGACAUU